rnacentral:rRNA from 1 species
UCUAAGUUUGAUGGCGACCGGCGCACGGGUGAGUAACACGUAUCCAACCUGCCGAUGACUCGGGGAUAGCCUUUCGAAAGAAAGAUUAAUACCCGAUGGCAUAGUUCUUCCGCAUGGUGGAACUAUUAAAGAAUUUCGGUCAUCGAUGGGGAUGCGUUCCAUUAGGUUGUUGGCGGGGUAACGGCCCACCAAGCCUUCGAUGGAUAGGGGUUCUGAGAGGAAGGUCCCCCACAUUGGAACUGAGACACGGUCCAAACUCCUACGGGAGCAUG